GGUUAAGCGACUAAGCGUACACGGUGGAUGCCCUGGCAGUCAGAGGCGAUGAAGGACGUGCUAAUCUGCGAAAAGCGUCGGUAAGGUGAUAUGAACCGUUACAGCCGGCGAUGUCCGAAUGGGGAAACCCAGUGCAAUUCGUUGCACUAUCGUUAACUGAAUACAUAGGUUAACGAGGCGAACCGGGGGAACUGAAACAUCUAAGUACCCCGAGGAAAAAAAAUCAACCGAGAUUCCCCCAGUAGCGGCGAGCGAACGGGGAGCAGCCCAGAGUCUGAAUCAGCUUGUGUGUUAGUGGAACGGUCUGGAAAGUCCGACGGUACAGGGUGAUAGUCCCGUACACCAAAAUGCACAGGCUGUGAACUCGAAGAGUAGGGCGGGACACGUGGUAUCCUGUCUGAAUAUGGGGGGACCAUCCUCCAAGGCUAAAUACUCCUGACUGACCGAUAGUGAACCAGUACCGUGAGGGAAAGGCGAAAAGAACCCCGGCGAGGGGAGUGAAAAAGAACCUGAAACCGUGUACGUACAAGCAGUGGGAGCACCUUCGGGUGUGACUGCGUACCUUUUGUAUAAUGGGUCAGCGACUUAUAUUCUGUAGCAAGGUUAACCGUAUAGGGGAGCCGCAGGGAAACCGAGUCUUAACUGGGCGUUAAGUUGCAGGGUAUAGACCCGAAACCCGGUGAUCUAGCCAUGGGCAGGUUGAAGGUUGGGUAACACUAACUGGAGGACCGAACCGACUAAUGUUGAAAAAUUAGCGGAUGACUUGUGGCUGGGGGUGAAAGGCCAAUCAAACCGGGAGAUAGCUGGUUCUCCCCGAAAGCUAUUU
rnacentral:rRNA from 1 species